AUGGUGCCUUGUCUGUUUGCAGCUGCCUCUUCCCCCCAUCAUGAAUUCCAGCCCCUGCCCGCUGGGCUUUCUGUCGGGCGCUUUCCUUUAGAGCACUUGCGAGAGUGUCUCCAUGCCGGGCUGGUCAGGAGGGCCAGCAGUGAGGGAAGAAAGGCCCUGCUGCCUUCUCACUGGGCCAAACGGGGUGCUUGGGGGCUCCUCUGCACCGCUCCAGCACAGCAGCACACAGCAGCACAGGAGCCCACCACAGGAUCCCCACUCCCCCACCCCCACGGCGGGAAUCAAGCCCAUUCCCUUACCAGACGGGGGCUGCUCCCUGGGGCAGUGCCUUGUAUCUGGCGGGUUUCAGGAUUUCAGAUGAUGCUCAGCAGGACCCACAACAGAAGGGACAGGUGGAUCCAUGAUGUGCAAAGCGACAGGGAAUUUGAGUUCUCUUCGGGAGGCAAAGCUUCGGACAGUUCAGCAGAUGGAAUUCCCGGAGCCUGGUACCAGACACGGAGCCGUGCGCGGGGCCCAUCACGCCCUCCUCCUGACCACUGGCACUCUGGCUGGGGGCAGAGGCCAGGGGCCAGCGCUUGGGCCCCUCUCAGCUGUGUGGUCUGGAGCCAGUGCCCUGGACUCUCUGGGACUAGAUUUCUCCAGUGCCAACAUAAGGAAAGUAAAAC
rnacentral:lncRNA from 1 species